AGUCCUAUGCUUGUCACAAAGAUUAAGCCAUGCACGUCUAAGUACGAGCCGCCCCGGCGGCGAAACUGCGAACGGCUCAUUAAAUCGGUUACGACUCCACUGGUGCCAGACGUCCAGGUGGAUAACGUGCGGUAACUCCGGUGCUAAUACAUGCAACAAGGCUCCGACCCGGCGCGCGAGCGUCGGGGAAGGGCGCACUUAUUAGGCGAAAACCGACGUCCCGGGUCAAACCGGGGCUUCGGCGGACGACACCCGAGUAGUUGCCGCCGAUCGCACGGCCUCGCGCCGGCGACGCAUCUUUCGAGUUUCCGAUCUAUCACGCUGACGACGGCUGGUGCUACGCCAACCGUGGCGUUUACGGAUAACAGAGAAUCUGGGUUCGAUUCUGGAGAGGCCGCCUGAGAAACGGCGACCACUUCCAAGGAAGGCAGCAGGCACGCAAAUUACCCACUUCUGACACAGAGAGGUAGUGACGUGAAAUACCGAUGCGGCGCGCGCAAGCGACGUCGCAAUCGGAAUGAGAACAGUUCAAAACCUUUAACGAGGAUCCACUGGAGGGAAAGCCUGGUGCCAGCAGCCGCGGUAAUUCCAGCUCCAGCAGCGUAUAUUAUUAUUGCUGCGUUUAAAAAGCUCGUAGUUGGCGUACCGACGCGUGACGGCGGUCGGCCUCGCGGCUCGCACUGCCCGAUCGCGCCAUGCGCGAACGUCGCCGACGGUUGCGCUUCGCCGCGUGACCUCGGCAGCAUCGCACGUUCACCUUGAGGAAACUGAACCGUUCAUGGGAGGCGUGCGCGCUCGAACAACACAGCAUGGUACGAUGGAACAGGCGCCGGUGGCCGUUUUGUUGGUUUUAGACCUCGCCGGCAAAUGAUUAACAGGGACUGCCGGGGGCAUUCGUACUCGGGGGGGAGAGGUGAAAUUCAAGGAUCCUCCGAAGACGACCUACUGCGAAAGCAUUUGCCAAGAAUGUUUUCAUUAAUCAAGAACGAAAGUUGGAGGCGCGAAGGCGAUCAGAUACCGCCGUAGUUCCAACCGUAAACGAUGCCGACUGGCGAUCGGGGGCUCUUUACGUGAAGAAGCGCCCGGCAGCACCCGGGAAACCAAAGUUAUUGGGUUCCGGGGGGAGUAUGGUUGCAAAAUUGAAACUUAAAGGAAUUGACGGAAGGGCACCACCAGGAGUGGAGCUUGCGGCUUAAUUUGACUCAACACGGGAAACCUCACCCGGCCCGGACACUGCUAUGACAGACAGGUUGAGAGCUCUUUCUCGAUUCAGUGGUUGGUGGUGCAUGGCCGUUCUUAGUUCGUGGAGCGAUUUGUCUGGUUAAUUCCGAUAACGAACGAGACUCACGCCUGCUAAAUAGCGGCGGCCGCCUCGGCGGCUCGCCCUCGCUUCUUAGAGGGACAAGCGGCGCCCAGCCGCGUGAAGCUGUGAGCAAUAACAGGUCAGUGAUGCCCUUAGAUGUUCGGGGCCGCACGCGCGCUACACUGUCGGCAUCAGCGUGACACCCGCGCCGAAAAGCGCGGGCAGCCCGUUGAACCGCCGACGUGCUAGGGAUCGGGGCUUGCAAUUGUUCCCCGUGAACGAGGAAUUCCUUGUAGGGGCGCGUCAUCAGCGCGCCCCGAAUCCGUCCCUGCCCUUUGUACACACCGCCCGUCGCUACUACCGAUCGAAUGGUUUAGUGAGGCCCGCGGACCGCGCUCGCCCGCCGGGUUCGCCCGGCGCAGCCUGUCGCGGGAAGCGGGACGAACUUGAUCAUUUAUAGGAAGUAAAAGUCGUAACAAGGUUUUCGUAGGUGAACCUGCGGAAGGAUCA
rnacentral:rRNA from 1 species